UGCCGGUCCCCUCGCGACGAUAUAUUGUGAACCCGGUCAGGUCCGGAAGGAAGCAGCCGCAGCAGUAGAUUCGUGCGCCGAGGUAGGGCGGGUACGG
rnacentral:SRP_RNA from 1 species